CUUAUCUCGCCGUAUUUCUCGCCCACAAACAAGAAACAUAGCCCCGCGUUCUCAACUUCAAAGCCGAGCAGCAGCACAUCAAAGCGGCCAAGAGAGGGGGCCUGUGGAACAGCUUCGCUACAACUUACCAUCCAUGUUCUCCUACAGCCAGGCACGUUCGAAAUCGUUCAAAGUUUAGGCACCCCCUGACUGUUUGUUUGCAUUUCGCACGCACAGCCGUCGCCCCUCCUCCGUCCGAUCAAGUUGGAUAAUUCCUAGCUGUACAUUCACGUAAAUACUAGUCUUUCUAAUGGUAAAGCGUCAAUAAUUGAGAGAAACAGUGGAACACCAAGAAUGUUUCUUAACCAACUGGGCUGAAGGUUUAGUUGUGAGGAGUUCAAAGAAAGAAGGCUGGCCUGGUCCCGGAAGAUACAUAACAACACGCGACUAAUUCCUUACCACCAAACUGGCAUACAACCAUACUAAAUGGAAUUAAAUAAAAGUGGAUCGAUGCAAAAGACUCCAUAUAGCGUACAAUCUUGAUAUGGUUACAAAUGCUUACCUUUACGAAAGAGCUGCUUUUAAAAUGCACUUCGCGGGCAAUGAAUCAAUUCACUGGUAUACAAGGACCUUAUCAAAGACAGACAAUCGAGCUAACUCCCUGAGGCUUUGGAACGUCAGAACUUCUCCUACGACAAAAAAAAAGGGCGAGGAAAACUGGAAUCACUUUUCACCGUUUUCCUGCAUGGAGGACCAAAUAUCAGACGGAUGGCUGGGGCGCAGCGGUUCGUCGGAAAAGCAUUUCUCUUGAUCAUAUUUCUGCUGGAAUGAGAGUGUGUUCCCGUCAUGUCUACUCUUGAAAACCUGCAUAUGAAAUGCUGACAACACAUCCCGAUUGGUCACCAUAUCUCUUCUUGGGUUAUUCUGAGGUCAAGCGCACCACAUCGGAGCGUUAUGAGAGGUUGGAAAGGCAAAGAGUGCACGCUGAAACUUCUGUUUGCUGUGCUCUUACAAACACGAGCCCAAGUGUUGUUGUGAAAAGUCAAUAAAAUAUGAAUACCAAAACAUGACUCGAACAACUUCUUGACAAACUGUAACUGCUUGUUGUUUACUUCAGGU